rnacentral:lncRNA from 1 species
AAAUUAACAAGACUUGAUGAGAAAUAUGCUAUUCUUUUACUGAAAGUAAAUUGUUAUUUGCAACAUAAAUAUGGUACUGACCCAUAUAGUACAGGUUCUUUUGAAUUUAGUAUGCCUGUUAUUUGAUCACUCAAUUCUUGGUCUACUUUUCUCUAUUAGAAUCAUUUUGCAACCUCAGGUAACAUCUCUGCUGGUCUUGGUGAGCUACCUGGUGGUGUAAAGCCCCACUCUCCUUCCCAAGAGGUUAGAGUUCCUGGUAAUUGUACCCUUCUCAGGCUAGGGUUGCUACACUUCUCCAUUCAUAGUCACAGCUGGGACAAAGAAGAAACCAGGAGGUACCAAGCAGAUCCCCUGAAUUUCGCACUUACUCCACCUUGCUGUGAUUGUGUCACACAUCCCUACAUCUCCUGCUUGUCAUGGUCAUUUACCUGGGACGAGAUGAUGACUCCUUUCCAUGACUGCUGGUCACUAGACACAAGGAUCUCCAAGAGUCCAGGUGGCAUCUGUGUUGCCUGGCAAGAGUGGGCUUCCUGCAGAGCCCAGAGUUGAGAGGAUGGAAAGCUUCAAAGUCUCCUAAUGGGUCAUUGGGAAUGAUGGAAAAUGGGGCCACUCCGGCUUCCACACUUGGUUCCUGACCCCAGGAUAUUGCCUCCAAGCUGGUGCUUCAACUGUGUCUUUAGAAGACCAUUCCAUUACUCUAUCAGGCUGACAACUUCUGGGUGCGGCAUUGCGAGGAUUAAAUGGAGUGAAGCACGUAAAGGAUUUAGUACACUGCUUGCUGCAGAAUAAGAGCUUAGAGGACAUGGAGAGGAAGGAGCCAGCACAAGAGCACACAAGCAACGCUAUCCAUCUGUCUUCUUUUCUGUACAAGCUGAGGGCUCCUCAAGAACUGCCCUAAGUGCUUUAUAUGUUUAUCUCCCUUAAUCCUCAUAACAGUUUUGACUUUUCCAGAAUGUCAUAUAGUUGGAGUCAUACAACUAUAAAGCUAGAGUUUUCACUUCUUCCUACCCCUAGUUCCAAGGGAGCCAACAGACUCUGAGGCCUGUGUUCACUCCUUCUCUAGCAGAGCCAACAGACCCAGGUGGAGAAAAUCUAUAUGCAACAAGAUUCAUAAGGAACUAGAAGAGAGGGGAAGUGCCUUUUCAGAAUUCGGAGGGAAGUGGUGACACCAGUAGGAUGAAGGGAUAAAAGAGGAGAGGACUGUAGGCAUUGCUGGAGAGAAUGGAGAGAGUGUAGGACAGCAGGCAGGGCUCUGUGCUUGGCAUCCUUUCUCCAGAGGUCCUGGUGGGAAGGAGGUCUUCCUCCUUCAAGUAGUGCAAAGGAAUGAAGUAGUUGCAUUGGAGGUUACAGGGGUACUAGGUGGCAUGCCCUUUUAAGACCAUGUGUCUUUGAGGCUCCUUGUCUAGGCUACGUGCCAACACUCAUGAUGAUAACACAUGAUAAUAAUCCUGGGCUUGGUUAACCCAGCUGUUUUUGAAUGGG